GGUAUCUCCAACGGUGGAAUAUGGAAGUUCUCUUGAGGGUUUCUCUGAUUUAAAAUAGCAAAAAAUAAAUCAAAAAGCUUAAAUAUGGGAACAGCCGUAUCUCUUAAGAGAGAUUUGAGAAGUGAAGAGAGCCGACUACGUGUCACGGUUUAAUUGGUUAACAAUUUUUAACAUAAUACAAAAAAACUCUCUCUCCUUUUCUCAUUUUUCUCCCGACUAUCUCUCUCUUUAGCCGAGAGCAAUGGCGAUGGAGAAAAUGAGUUUUGCUCUGACGAUUAUGGCGAUUGAGGGUAGAAUUAAGGGUGAAUUAUAGUGAAUGAACAUUCGUUCGGCCGGAUUCUUCAUCUCCAGAGCCACUUGUCACGAUCGGCGAUGGGAGAUUAAAGCAAAUCGGAGAUGCAUCUCUCUCGAGUCUGAGAGUAAUCGAUGAAGAAAGCUCUUGUUUGUUUUUAAUGGUGACAAGUAAAAGAAGAUCGCAAGUACAAGUAAAAGAAGAAGACAAGUAACAGAAGAUGACAACUUCUUGUUAACUCUUUUAUGUUCUGUUCUUCAUUUAAAUGUCGUAUUGCUUAUGUCAUGGUGUUACUUGUAUUUAUUUUGCUUCAGAACCACAACUUUUUGUAGAUGCAAGUGUUGUUAUGUGUAUAGCUAUGCUCGUGUGAAGAACAA